CGCGGGGUGGAGCAGCUCGGUAGCUCGCUGGGCUCAUAACCCAGAGGUCGCAGGUUCGAAUCCUGUCCCCGCUACAA
rnacentral:tRNA from 8 species